GAGGCCCAAUAGUCCCACAUCGGAAAGACUCGUUCCAGAGCCUGGGCAUAUGAGGCGGGUGUCUCCAAAUCCUGCAGACGCGUUUUGGGUGGAAAAUAAAACCGGGGAGGGGUGAAGGACGCUUGCGUGAAGCCCCAGAACCGGACAAUAUCUGGCAGGGGAGCCCCGUGUUCCUCCCUCAUGUGGCCCCCACGUGGGCACUAG
rnacentral:lncRNA from 1 species